AGAGUUUGAUCCUGGCUCAGAUUGAACGCUGGCGGCGUGCCUAACACAUGCAAGUCGAGCGGUAACAGGUGUAGCAAUACAUGCUGACGAGCGGCGAACGGGUGAGUAAUGCUUUGGAAUCUUCCCAGUAGUGGGGAAUAACCAGUCGAAAGAUUGGCUAAUACCGCAUACGUCUGUAAAGGGAAAGCGGGGGCUCGUAAGACCUCGCGCUAUUGGAUGAGCCAAAGUCGGAUUAGCUAGUUGGUGGGGUAAUGGCCUACCAAGGCGACAAUCCGUAGCUGGUCUGAGAGGACGACCAGCCACACCGGAACUGAGACACGGUCCGGACUCCUACGGGAGGCAGCAGUGGGGAAUAUUGGACAAUGGGGGAAACCCUGAUCCAGCGACGCCGCGUGUGUGAAGAAGGCCUGCGGGUUGUAAAGCACUUUUAGUGGGGACAAAAAGCUACGGACUAAUAAUCUGUGGUCUUGAUUUAACCCAAAGAAAAAGCACCGGCUAACUCUGUGCCAGCAGCCGCGGUAAUACAGAGGGUGCGAGCGUUAAUCGGAAUUACUGGGCGUAAAGCGCGCGUAGACGGUUUUGUAAGUCAGAUGUGAAAUCCCUGGGCUCAACCUGGGAACUGCAUUUGAAACUGCAUGGCUAGAGUAUCGAAGAGGGAAGUGGAAUUUCCGGUGUAGCGGUGAAAUGCGUAGAUAUCGGAAGGAACACCAGUGGCGAAAGCGACUUCCUGGUCGAAUACUGACGUUCAUGUGCGAAAGCGUGGGGAGCAAACAGGAUUAGAUACCCCAGUAGUCC
rnacentral:rRNA from 1 species